rnacentral:lncRNA from 1 species
CUGUAUUUGUUAUUCCGAGCUAAUCAUCUUUUAAUCUACACAAAAUGAUAUUUAUUCCCAAAUAGAUUUAGGUUCAACUAUGUGAAUCCUUUUGCACGCUACGUUCUAGUCAUCGAUAGAUCUACUACAGGAUCUUAAACCCAUAUUUUCGGUAACAUAUUAGUUAUACAGAAUCAGCAUACAACAUAAACAUUUGACAUUCCACAAUAAUGAACACACAAAUGAAAAACUAUUCACAAAAACAAUAAUUACCAAUUUACAAGAGCUGGAACCCAGAUGCAGACACAAGAGUACCGAUAAGUCCUCAAAUCCAUUGAUGUUUCGCCCGCAGUUAAAGAAUCUCUAUACAGUGGAACCGUGGAUUCAGUAUGAUCCACCAAGGAAAACUAAUUGAACAGAAAAAUAUUCAAAUGAUGUGAUUUUAAUCCAAAUAUAUAUUGUUGUAGUUUUGGUUUAAUAACCACCUCCUUCCUUUAAAAUUUGCCUUCUCCUAAUCAACAAGAAUGCCACCACACAAACUUGCAGGAUCCCAGCUAUCCCCGUAAACAUUAGCCCGAUUUUCUUCCCCGUGUUGAGCUUAUCUUUCAACUGUGGGGGGCUCAAAUGUGGAUGCGACUUGUUUGAAGGAGGUGGGAGAAGACGUUUUCUUGGAGAAGGCAGUGGAGGACCGAGAGGUGAGGGCGGCGGAGGUGGUGGUGAUUGAGUUGGAGGAGGAGGUGGAGGUGGAGGAGGAGGAGGCGGUGGUGGUGAUGGAGGUGGAGGGGCCAAUGGAGGAGGUGAUGGUGGCGGAACAAAUGGAGGUGGAGGAGCCAAUGGAGGAGGUGGCGGCGGCGGAACGAAUGGAGGGGGCGGAGCUAAUGGAGGUGGUGGGUCGAUGUCGACAGAAGGUGGCGGUGGAGGAUUCACAUUCUGUUGAGACUCAACAAUGAGAGCAAAGAAACCAAAGAAAAUCCCUAAACAAGCAAUUACCAAAGUUAACAACGGCGAAUUCAUAUUGAUCGCACACAAAUCAAUUAUUCAGGCAAAAUCUUCUUCUUUGCACCGCCUCGCAUCCGAGAUCGCUUCAAAAUCCUCACUCUUCUUCUAAUUCAACAACAAGUGGCAAUUUAUUUCGCGAUCUAAAACCCAAUAACUUGCUAUAUUUUUGGAUCCUGGCCCUGGAAAUUUCUUGUUAUCUGCAAUAAACAACAAAAAGAUCCAACUGGGCUGGCCCCAAAAAUCUUGAUUUCUUCUUCAAACGGGGAAGAAUUCACGGAAAAGUUCCCCAGAAAAACAAGAAACUAGUAAUAAAACAUUACAUUGGAUUCUUGAAUCUGGAUUCACAUAAAAUAAUAACGAAUUACGGGGUGGUUACAUUUGCUACUUCUUUUCCUUCCUGAUCCCCCAAUUCUCGUUAAAAUCAAAUUAAAAAACGAAGAAAAACGGAGAGAGAAAUUGGGAGAGGGAAAGGGAAAGGAGGUAGAGAGGGCAAGAGAGAGAUGACAAAUGGGAAAUAGGGAAGAAAGAACAGGCGGGAAUGGAUUCAACGGUAGGUAUAAUUUUGGGGAGUCUUGAUUCCUUAGAUUUAGG